GUGGUCCUACGGGAGGCAGCAGUGAGGAAUAUUGGUCAAUGGUCGGGAGACUGAACCAGCCAAGCCGAGUGAGGGAUGAAGGUUCAGAGUAUCGUAAACCUCUUUUGUCAGGGAACAAAGGCGGGGACGUGUCCCCGGAUGAGUGUACCUGAAGAAAAAGCAUCGGCUAACUCCGUGCCAGCAGCCGCGGUAAUACGGAGGAUGCGAGCGUUAUCCGGAUUUAUUGGGUUUAAAGGGUGCGCAGGCGGCGAGUUAAGUCAGCGGUAAAAUUUCGGGGCUCAACCCCGACCAGCCGU
rnacentral:rRNA from 1 species